UGGCUGUGACGACCGAAGACUGUUGUUUCUCGAUCCUGACUUGAUUCAAUCAAUCAAGGACCAACCUUUGAUGACCUUUGUGCGUGUCUGAGCCCG
rfam:Oryza brachyantha chromosome 3, whole genome shotgun sequence.